UACGUAGGCAGCGAGCGUUGUUCGGAGUUACUGGGCGUAAAGAGUGCGUAGGCGGUUUUCUAAGUUUGGUGUGAAAUCUCCCGGCUCAACCGGGAGGGUGCGCCGAAAACUGGGAGACUAGAGUGCGGGAUGGGAGAGUAGAAUUCCUGGUGUAGCGGUGAAAUGCGUAGAUAUCAGGAGGAAUACCGGUGGUGUAGACGGCUCUCUGGACCGCCACUGACGCUGAGACACGAAAGCGUGGGUAGCAAACAGG
rnacentral:rRNA from 1 species